rnacentral:rRNA from 1 species
AACGAACGCUGGCGGCAUGCCUAACACAUGCAAGUCGAACGAGACCUUCGGGUCUAGUGGCGCACGGGUGCGUACCGCGUGGGAACCUGCCCUUAGGUUCGGAAUAACUCCCCGAAAGGGGUGCUAAUACCGGAUAAUGUCUUCGGACCAAAGAUUUAUGGCCUUUGGAUGGGCCCGCGUUGGAUUCGCUAGUUGGUAGGGGAAAAGCCUACCAAGGCGACGAUCCAUAGCUGGUCUGAGAGGAUGAUCAACCACACUGGGACUGAGACACGGCCCAGACCGCGACGGGGGGGAGCAGUGGGGAAUAUUGGACGAGGGGGGAAAGCCUGAUCCCGCAAUGCCGGGUGAGUGAUGAAGGGCGUAGGGUUGUAAAGCUCCUUUACCCGGGAUGAUAAUGACAGUACCGGGAGAAUAAGCUCCGGCUAACUCCGUG